CCUACGGGUGACAGCAGUGAGGAAUAUUGGUCAAUGGACGAGAGUCUGAACCAGCCAAGUAGCGUGAAGGAUGACUGCCCUAUUGGUUGUAAACUUCUUUUAUAUGGGAAUAAAAUGUUCCACGUGUGGGAUUUUGUAUGUCCCAUACUAAUAAGGAUCGGCUAACUCCGUGCCCGCAGACGCUGUAAUACGGAUGAUCCGAGCGUUAUCCGGAUUUAUUGGGUUUAAAGGGAGCGUAGGUGGAUUGUUAAGUCAGUUGUGAACGUUUGCGGCUCAACCGUAAAAUUGCAGUUGAAACUGGCAGUCUUGAGUACAGUAGAGGUGGGCGGAAUUCGUGGUGUAGCGGUGAAAUGCUUAGAUAUCACGAAGAACUCCGAUUGCGAAGGCAGUUCACUGGACUGCAACUGACACUGAGGCUCGAAAGUGUGGGUAUCAAACAGGAUUAGAUACCCCGGUAGUC
rnacentral:rRNA from 1 species